GGAGGUUGCAGUGAGCCAAGAUGGCGCCACUACACUCCAGCCUGGGUGACAGAGUGAGACUCAGUUCCAAAAAAAAAAAGUUAAGAUGAAGAAACAGAGAGUAACUGUGCAGUGGAGACACCUGACCCACGCUGCCCCAGCCGGGUGAUCCAGGCCGCAUCACGGUGAGAAGUCACGUGGCCAGUGUGUCCUCUUGAUGUGAGACAAUAAGAAUGGCACUUUCCUUCUGCAGUCUUCCUCCCAAAACCCACAACCCCAGGCUUACCCUGGGAAAAACAUCAGACGAAUCCCAACAGAGGGGCAUCCUGUAAAACAAAAACACCCGACCAGUGCUCCCCAAAACCCUUCAGGUCAUCAGAAACAAAGUCUGAGAAAUCGCCACAGCCAGGAGGAGCCUAAGCCUACUGAAUGCGACGUGGAGCAAAUAGAGGACAUAACAGAUUAAAUACUAAGAAAACCUGAGUACCGUAUCAAUGUGGGUUUGUUCAUUGUAACAAAUGAUACUAGUGUAUGAUGUUAAUGAUGGGCAGCCGGGCACAAGGGAUACAGGGAACUCUGCACCUGCUUCACUAUUUUUUGGUCAAUAUAAAACUGUUCUAAAAAAUAAAGUUUAUUUUUUUAAAAAGAGCUGGGUGAAGUUGUGGCAAAUAGUUGAAAUAGUUGUACAAACACACCCCAGCAAGAGAGCAAGGGAGUGAAAAGCGUUUUUUUGUUUUGUUUUGUUUUGUUUUAGAGACAGUCUUGCUCUGUGGCCCAGGCUGGAGUGCAGUGGUGUCAUUACAGCUCAUUGCAGCCUCAAACUUCUGGCCUCAAGCAGUCCUCCUGCCUCAGCCUUCCAAAGCACUGGGAUUACAGGUGUGAGCCAUCGCGCCAGGCCAGGUGUUGUAUUUAAACUGGGACCCUAACACAUUUCAUUGGUAAAUGUCAAUUUUUCAGGCAGCAUAUGUGAAUUCAGUUUGGAAAUGUCUUCAUUAUACUCUGAGAAUUCCAGCAAGGAGACAGCAAGAGUUUGUCACAAGGAAUACUAGACUGUCCUGGAAUGGGGUUGGGGGCUGCCAUUGAGACAGCUGAGGGGAGCCAGGUCUGUGCCUGCAGUAUAAAAUACCCCAUGCAUAAUCUGAUCAAUGUUUUUGCUGAGUGCUAAGUGCCAUGAGUAGGAAAAAGGAGGCUCAACGUGAUGGGCUGGAAAAGAACAGUGUUCACAGUUAGGACACCUGGUUCUAUGCCCCCCUGGACUAGCUGUGUGCCCCCAAGGUGAGCUGCCACUGCUCAGUUUUCUUAUUUGUAAAAUGGGUGUGUGGGGCAGGUGUGGUGGGGCUGGUGGACUUCGGGGUCCACACCCAUUAGUUGCUACCCAUCAUGUGUCAGGCUUUAGGCUACGAUCUCAUCACCAUCCUUCAAGGAUUCUAUUACUACACCCAUUUUUCAGAUUAGGAAAACCAAGGCCCAUAGAUGUCCCAUUAAUGCCCAAAGCCACAAGGCCAGUAAGUGUUCUAAAGAGAGACACACCUGGGUUCGAAGCCAGCUCAAAGUCUAUUUAGAACCAAGUCUAUUCUCAACCAUUCCAUGGGCUGCUGUCUCCAAGGGUCUAGCCAUCUCUGACAUUCCAGGGCCCACAGUCUCAUUUCCUCCAGGGUAUCUGUUACCCAGUCAAGUCUCAAACCAGGUCUGAAAAUACAGCUGCAAGUGAGGCAUCUGUCUGCUUCGCUCUGUGGAGUGGGCACCACCGACUCCAGGAGAGCAGCCCUCCUGGUCCCUCUGGCCAGGCAGCCCCCCACCCUCCCCGGUGGCCCCACUGGGAGUCCAGCCUGUCUGGCCCUUUCUGCUGUCUUAACUAAGAUGACAGGCUUCAGGUGUUUUUUAAAUUAAAAUGGUUCGUUUCUGUUCAUCUCUUUUCCAGAUGUCGCUACCUAGAGGGAAUCUGUCUUUAUUUAUUGGCUCUUUCCUGUGCAGAAUGCAAGGGAGUCUCCCUCCGGCUGAGACCCCCGGGAAGGAGGCCACAUGUGGAGGUGACUUGAACCAGGACGGCAGGAACCUGGGGUCCCCGGGGGGCUCCGGACAGAGGUCAUGGUGGAAACCCUGGGAGGUGGGGUUGCCGUUAGGAUUUUCUCCUGGCCACGUGGCGCAUGUGUGGCUGAGGUGAGGUAUGCGGCAGGGUCAGCGCGUUCCCCGCUGGGCUGGGAGGCUGCGAAUUUAUGAGGGGCGGAUGCAGCCCUGUGUCCGUGUCUUUCACGUUGCCAACUGCAGUGAAUAGAGCAUUUGUUUUCCUAUUCAACAGCAGAAUGAGAACUGCCUGAUCGGCUUCCAGUCGCUUUUCUGGAUGACACCCUGCACUUUACUUUCCCCACUUCCCUGCAGCCCCCUCUGCCUAAAGCCCAGCUUCUCUCACCUUCUUCUCCAGCCUCUGUCCCCAGUCUUCCUGUCUCCACCCUGCCCUCUCCAUCCAGCCUCCAACGGCAGCCGGAAGGCUCCAUCAACAACUCACAUCUGAGCAGAUCCCCCAGUCCUGCUUUUAAUCCUUCAGGCUUCCUCUGUCCCAGCAGGAUAAAGCCCAAACUCUCUGGUCAGCCACAGAGCCCCUUCCCAAGCCUGUCCCCAAUCCUACUGCCUCCCUCUGCUCACCCUCUAAAUGGCCCCGAACCCCCGGGGCACUGCACCCACUCGCACACCCCACACUGUUCCCUCUGCCUGGCAGCCUUCUCCCCAGGGCUCUGCUCCACAUCAGCUCCUCUGGAAAGCUUUCCCCAUCCUGGCCUGCAGAGCCCGGGACGUGCCCGUGUGAUACAGGCAUUGCACCAGAUUUCCACUGCCUAUUUAUGGGCUGCCAAACCCCCUGAGUCACCCAGAGCCCCGUGAGGACGAGGGUCACACCCUGUCCUAGGCGGCAUCCGCAUGCCCGGCACAAGCCCAGCACAGAGCAGCUCUGGACGGUGCUGGCUGACCACGCGAUAUGGCAAGAGAAUGAAUGAAGCUGAUGCCAGCUCCUCAGGAAGGGAAUGCUUCUCUUCCUAGUCUAGGAUUCCAUAGCCUGCCCUGCUCUCGGGACACCUUGGACAACAUGCCCCUGAGGGCCAUGUCCCCUGAUGACCCCUCUUGUCACGCAUAGGCAUUCUGUGCGAAACGAAAGGUCAUAGUGUUCCCAAAGCAGAUAAAAAGAUUGGUUUCCUGACAGACAUUCCGAGGGGAUGAUUCUGAAGACACUGUGUGCGUGUUCCUGUGGGGACAUUUCCCAGGAUCACUUUGUUGUGACAUUCCACAGACGUGUCCCCCACCCCAAAACUGUGAGAGGCUGGGGUUGGUCGAGGAGCCAAGAGGUACAGUGAAUAUGCAUUUACCAAGACCCGCAACAGAAUACACAUUUACCAAGACCCACGACAUACACUGAAUACACAUUUACCAAGACCCACGACAUACACUGAAUACACAUUGACCAAGACCUACAACAUGCAGAGUGCUGGCUGGGGCCGGAUGUGAGUUGGACUAAGGCUUGCCUUCAGGGGGCAUCUAGUUCAGUGGGAAGAGCUGCCCCAGGCGUAAAGGAGCACUGACCAUGGCAGUGAGUGCCCAGUGCCCUGUGAAUGUGGACAAGUGAGGGCUGCUGCAGGGCUAGGGGAGGAGGUGCAGAGGCUACUGGCGGGGGGAGCAUGCUCUGUAGAGAGGCCAGGACUUGAAUUAGACAGACAGAGCUUGCAAGGGGCGGGGAUUCAGGCAAGGGGCACAGCGCAACCAAAACCCAAGAGGUGGCAUGGCACAGGGCUUGUCAAAAUGACAGGUGACUCCACUUGGCACAGUCGGGGUGUCUAUGCACCAGACACAUGAGAGAGGAGGUCGAUGGGACGGGCAGACACAUAGUGGGCCUGUACGCCACGUGAGACCUCAACCCUGAGACCACCUUGGAGACUGCCUGGGCACCCAGCAAUGGGGGAGGAAUAGGGAGCCCAGGGGUGCCCAUCCUCACUGCACUGCAAGCCAGAAGGGCUCAGUGCCCACAUCAAUAUGCGGCACGGGCAUUCCUCCACUUUCACUGGCAGGACAUGGGCUGAAAGACAGCCCGUGAAGAACUCGCCUGGCCCUGGGCACAGAGAGCCACAGGCUUAGCGUCUCUGGCUUGCGCAGCUGGGGGCAGUGGCCCUGUCCUCUCCCCAGAAUCCAUCGGGCAGAAUGGGAAUGACCAUGCAUGUCAUUUGGACCAUCCCCCGCAUUCCCACCACCUUGCCAGUCCCCUCAGUAGCAUUCCCACCUUACAUCCUGGGACCGGACCCUUCCCUGAACACCGAGCUGCGCUUCUACAGAGCUCUCAGCCUUGCUGCGGGAUCCAGCAGCCACCCACUCCUGAGUACCCCAAUCCCCCUCCUCUGAACUCCUCUGUCCCACUCACAUGGGAGCAGCCACCUCAUCUUACAGAGGGAGGAACUGAGGGCAGAGGGGUGGCCCGACUUGGCCGGAGUCCGGCGGGGUGGGAGCAGCAGGGCUAGGCCUUGAAUGCAGGUCUCUGGAUUCCCGACAGGGUGCCCCCGGCCCAGCUGCCAGUCCCCCUUGCCUCUGCUGAGCCCAUCCUUGCAGGGCCCACCACCUGCCUCUCUGAGUCUGCAUCACAUCUCCUGGAGGGUAGAGAGCACCGCUAGCACCUUUCUGGGGCCCUGGGCGUCCCGCGUGGCAAUGGGCAUACCAUGGUGCCCAGCAACCCUCAGCAGACAGAAUUAGCCACUGGCUUUAGAGACCGACCAUGUCUCCGAGAAGACUCUGAUGAACUGAGGGGGCGACUUGGCAGACUCAGGUUGGGGAGCUGAAGAGUCACUGUGCUACAGUGGAAAGAACCCUGGCCUGGGAGUCAGGGUUGAGUCCAUGCCUGGCUGGGCUAUACAUCAGUGACCCUGGAGAUGUGUCCCCUUCUCUGGGCUUCAGGUUCCCCAUGAGUCCAACAAGGGGGCUGGAGGAACUCCCUGACCUCUGGUGCCCCUGCAGCUCUAGCAACCCAUAGCUUUAGGCACUACCAGUGUCCCCAGCAAGACCACGGACAGAGCCGAAAGUGGCAGUGCAUUACCCCUUGCUCCUGACAGAUCUGCGUCAGCCUCUCCAGCUGCUCGUCUUGGAUGACCUUGGCCUUCUCAUACUGCUGGAUAACCAUCUCCAUCUCCAGCUUCACUGGCAGGACGUAGGCUGGAAGACAGAGACAGCCCUGUAAAGAAUUCAGCAGUGGCAGGGCUUGGACUGGGGAAGGGCGGGCCCAGCAUUCAGGCAGCAG
rnacentral:lncRNA from 1 species